CCUACGGGAGGCUGCAGUGAGGAAUAUUGGUCAAUGGACGCAAGUCUGAACCAGCCCUGCCGCGUGCAGGAAGACGGCUCUAUGAGUUGUAAUCUGCUUUUGUACGCGGGUAAACGCAGAUACGCGUAUCUGUCUGACAGUAUCGUACGAAUAAUGAUCGGCUAACUCCGUGCCAGCAGCCUCGGUAAUACGGCGGAUUCAAGCGUUAUCCGGCUUUCUUGGGUUUACAGGGUGCGUAGGCGGUCGGAUAAGUUAGAGGUGAAAUCCCGAGGCUCAACUUCGGAAUUGCCUCUGAUACUGUUCGGCUAGAGAGUAGUUGCGGUAGGCGGAAUGUAUGGUGUAGCGGUGAAAUGCUUAGAGAUCAUACAGAACACCGAGUGCGAAGGCAGCUUACCAAGCUACUUCUGACGUUGAGGCACGAAAGCGUGGGGAGCAAACAGGAUUAGAUACCCGGGUAGUC
rnacentral:rRNA from 1 species